GCAUCAGUGGUGUAAUGGUUAACAUGUGGUCUUCCCAUACGACCUGUUCACUGUAGUAUGGCCGCGUUCGGGGUUCGAUUCCCCGCUGAUGCA